UACGGAGGGUGCAAGCGUUAUCCGGAUUCACUGGGUUUAAAGGGUGCGUAGGCGGGUAAGUAAGUCCGUGGUGAAAUCUCUGAGCUUAACUCAGAAACUGCCGUGGAUACUAUUUGCCUUGAAUAUUGUGGAGGUGAGCGGAAUAUGUCAUGUAGCGGUGAAAUGCUUAGAUAUGACAUAGAACACCAAUUGCGAAGGCAGCUCACUACACAAUCAUUGACGCUGAGGCACGAAAGCGUGGGGAUCAAACCGG
rnacentral:rRNA from 1 species